GGCCUGAAGUUUCGGAAACACUGGACCUUGAACGUCCACUUAAGAUGUUCAACUCAUCUUCAAGCCU
rnacentral:tRNA from 2 species